UACGGAGGGGGCUAGCGUUGUUCGGAAUUACUGGGCGUAAAGCGCACGUAGGCGGCUUGGUAAGUUAGAGGUGAAAGCCUGGAGCUCAACUCCAGAAUUGCCUUUAAGACUGCCGAGCUAGCAGGUGAGAGAGGUGAGUGGAAUUCCGAGUGUAGAGGUGAAAUUCGUAGAUAUUCGGAAGAACACCAGUGGCGAAGGCGGCUCGCUGGCCCAUUUCUGACGCUGAGGUGCGAAAGCGUGGGGAGCAAACAGG
rnacentral:rRNA from 1 species